GCGGCUGCUGCGGCGGGGGGUGUUGCGGCGCCACAGG
rnacentral:tRNA from 1 species